GAUCAUGUCAUAAGAUUUCCCAAAAAUCAAUCUCAAUGAAGAGGUUGUUGAAAUCAAGGAAACAUUUGAGGGCAUUCCAUAACUUUUUCCCCUUCAAGAAAUAUCACAUACAACCUUCCAUCCGAAGUCAACAAAAUUGAAACCCAUUUUUGAGAGUUGUUGGUGCCUCAUCCUAUAACUGACGACAACAUUAGGAAAUCUAGAGACGUCGUCGGGGGCCCCAGGAAGAGUUAUAUUUUAUUUUUAACAGCUUUCCCAGCCUGAAAUCGGCUCAACCAGAGAUAGGGUCCAGCAGUUGGAAGAGCAUCACACGUCUUGCGGUGUCCGGUGCGCCCUCAAUGACCCUUGAAAAUAUGAAGGACCGAGUACCGUCCAUGCCCAGUAAUACUCAUAACCGCAUUAGGUCUCUAAGAUAAACAACCUAUGGUC
rnacentral:ncRNA from 1 species